GAUGAACGCUGGCGGCGUGCCUAAUACAUGCAAGUCGAGCGAACGGACGAGAAGCUUGCUUCUCUGAUGUUAGCGGCGGACGGGUGAGUAACACGUGGAUAACCUACCUAUAAGACUGGGAUAACUUCGGGAAACCGGAGCUAAUACCGGAUAAUAUUUUGAACCGCAUGGUUCAAAAGUGAAAGACGGUCUUGCUGUCACUUAUAGAUGGAUCCGCGCUGCAUUAGCUAGUUGGUAAGGUAACGGCUUACCAAGGCAACGAUGCAUAGCCGACCUGAGAGGGUGAUCGGCCACACUAGAACUGAGACACGGUCCAGACUCCUACGGGAGGCAGCAGUAGGGAAUCUUCCGCCAUGGGCGACAGCCUGACGGAGCAACGCCGCGUGAGUGAUGAAGGUCUUCGGAUCGUAAAACUCUGUUAUUAGGGAAGAACAUAUGUGUAAGUAACUGUGCACAUCUUGACGGUACCUAAUCAGAAAGCCACGGCUAACUACGUG
rnacentral:rRNA from 1 species